rnacentral:lncRNA from 1 species
GUCAGCUGCCAUGAGUAGGCCUUAAACAAACACCUUGUGUGCUGUCAUUGUUGGCCUGUGCGUUUCAGCACGAGGCUGGGCCACCACAGCCAAGUGUUUCAAUUCCUGAAGAGCUUCCAGAAGAAAUUAGUAUGUAAUGACCGCACUCUGCAAGAAGAAAGGCCCAUUAUGGCUCUCGCUGACUGUACUUGGCUUUCAUUUGCAAGCUAAAUGGAUGCGUGCGAAGGCGAGGGAUCAUGGACUAUCACCCCUCUAAUCUCUACCUGUAACAGUAAUGCUGCGCUCCCAUGCAGGGUGGCCUAUGACCUGGGAGAACAUUGGAACGGCCUCAGGGUGAGGCGUGAGAGAGGGAGCCCUCCUAGCUUAUGUGAAGUUUCUGUCACUCUUAGUGUUUCAAGUGUCUCCACUUCAGGGAGUGAGAGCUUAGCUGUACCACUGGAAAUGAGUGGGUGUGUCUUUGAGAAACCAACACAACAUUCCUGGACACUGCCACCACAUAUUGUCUCUUUCCAACUAUCCCUCCCUCUAUCGGACGAUUUUAAAGGACUCAAAUUGUAAGGAAUCCAACUUUCCUUUCAGGAAUCAACAUCUAGUCCAAAAGGUGAUUCGUUGAAACUGAACUACCGCAACAUCCUGACAUCAGCCAAAUGAAUAAAUCAAUGCGUGACCUUUUUUUUUAUUGGAGGGCUUAUUAAACCAAGAAAUAUUUUUACAUUUUCCCUAUCUGCUGCCUUUCACAUCACAGCUCAGGAUAGUUGUUACCUAAGUGACUAUGUACUUUCUUAUUAUUAACCACAUUACGGCUUAGGUGAUCAGCUGAAGAAGCAACUGCAUCUGUGAAUCUGCAUGUAUUCCCAGAAACGGCAGUGCUCUUUACUAGGGCUGGGUAAAAAAUAUUGAUUUCUCGAUUUGAAUCAAUUCUUAUUUUUAUGAAAUGAUAUCGAUUCAUAUAUCCCAAUAAUUGAUAGGUCUAGCAUGUCAGAUAAUGAAUGGAACAUUGUAGCGCGCCU